CCUACAACAGUGAUUCUCAGAUUUAUGUGCUCUUAUAUUGCCAUUGCUGAAGCAAGAACCACAUGAACAUCGAAGACAACCCUGAAAUACAGUCAACAGUGACAACGAGCAACACUGGGGCGUCGGGAACAUGUUCCUCUUUUCCACAACACUUCUCUUCCUGUUUCUGGUCACCUGUUCACCAGAGAAGAAAGGCGAUUUUGGAAAACUUACUGCCUGUAUCACUGAAAACAACAGCCUCAUGUUGGAAUGCGAGUACCCACCAUGUCCAGAUUCACCGCCCUUUGAUUGUGACUUCCUCACCACAGAGGACGGGGUCCUGUUGGGGAGCUCUUACAAAAACUUUCAGAUGACAAAUGACUCAACCUUUCACAUUACAGCAAAAGGUCGGUGUCAGCUUAUUCUCAUUGGCCAUGCCCUAACUCAUUCCAACGAGACAAAGAGUUAUAACUGUACUUUGAUACGGAAACGUAGAGAAGAGAGGAAGAACAUCACUAUAAACUACAUGAACCCCCACAAAAAACAACACAUCAAACCUUGCUCUACCAUGGGGUGGAUGUUGCAUCAAGCUCCCACCCUGCUAUGGCCUGUGGUAUUCAUGUCACUAUGGAAGAUCCUCUCCUGAAUGCACAACCUACCCUUACAAGCUGAAGCUCAACUCUGUCUGAAUUAGGAUACUCUGUACAAUU